AAUCUAUGUUGAGGGCAUUUCUGUAAAAGGUCCUUGAACUGUUCCUAUGUCUCAAAUAAUGAUUCUAGAUCCAUCUGAACAUAUGGAGAGAUUUCAUUGUGAAGCUU